UAAGAGAUAGUAUAUUUAUUAUAUAAAGCUGUUAACUUUAUGAAGUGCUUUUAAAAGCACCCUCUUAG
rnacentral:tRNA from 1 species